rnacentral:lncRNA from 1 species
AACCAGCUGGCUGCAAAGGAAGCAGAAUCAUUGCAUUCGGGUGGUGGCAUUUAGACACUUAGCUCAAGCCAGCACAGAGGAAAGUCUGCUUGAGAGAAAUCAUCUGACCUGGCUCUGGAGAUAUUUCUGGAAAAAUGGCCAAGUUCCUACCAGUUCUGCUGUUUGCAUCCCAGCUUUCCUUGACAGCAGGCAACCAUGAUAGCAGGUUUCUGAGCUGGGAAGACCAUCCUUGGCAUUCCUGAGACCUUCACUAUGCAGUCUGAAUGCCAAAUGCUGCCCCAUGCCCCAAUUCAUGCUAUUGAAGAUUUCCAUUUCUAAAAGUACAGAUUUUUUUAGAAUCUUCUUCUUGAUCUUCGCAGACCCUUCAAAUUAGCAUAACAUGUGUUUUAGUAAUCAUAACUAGAAGAAAAGUGUUACCAACUGCACUAUCAGUUUCCUGUAACAUUUGCC